AAACUUUCAACAACGGAUCUCUUGGCUCUGGCAUCGAUGAAGAACGCAGCGAAAUGCGAUAAGUAAUGUGAAUUGCAGAAUUCAGUGAAUCAUCGAAUCUUUGAACGCACAUUGCGCCCGCCAGUAUUCUGGCGGGCAUGCCUGUUCGAGCGUCAUUAA
rnacentral:rRNA from 1 species